AACAGACCCUGGUGAACAGACCCUGGUGAACAGACCCUGGUGAACAGACCCUGGUGAACCAGACCCUGUGAACAGACCCUGGUGAACCAACAGCCAGACCCUGGAACAGAAACCAGACCCUGGUGAUCGGACCCUGGUGAACAGACCCUGGUGAACAGACCCUGGUGAACCAGACCCUGGUGAACCAGACCCUGGUGAACAGACCCUGGUGAACCAACAGCCAGACCCUUGUGAACCAGACCCUGGUGAACGGACCCUGGUGAACCAACAGCCAGACCCUGGUGAACGGACCCUGGUGAACCAACAGCCAGACCCUGGUGAACAGACCCUGGUGAACAGACCCUGGUGAAACAGCAGCCAGAGCCUGGUGUUCAUCCUUCCAUGUCUGAGGACCAAUGGGGCCAGCCUGCAGUUAAGGCCGCCGCCCUGCCCUCAGGACCAAUCAGAUCAUAGCUGGUGGUGUGUGGGGAAACAAGAGGCAUUAACGGCACAUCACCACCGGCAGUCUCGGACCAAUCAGAUCACAGCUGGUGGUGUGUGGGGAAGCAGGUCAGGACCACCUGGGAAGAACCUGGAAUAUGGAAUAUGGAAUAUGAGGCAUUAACGGCACAUCACCACCGGCAGUCUCGCUCAGUGGCCUCUACUGGCCUGUGCGGAGCCAUGAGGUGCAUCCAAAAUGGUUCAUCAUCGUCUGCGUCAGCUUCAUCGUCUGCCCCAUCACUUGUCAAGUGCUCCUCUCUUCUCCAACAUCUGCGGGUCAAAGUCUCACAGUACGAUGGAUUGUUUUUAAAUUGGCAGAAGCAGUCGUGUACAGUAGCUGGUAUCACUCAGUCCUAAAGGAACCAUUCCCCAGAGGAACAGAGCGGGUGUUCCACACACAGCAGGGCUUUUGCAACUCACAUGGCUGACGAGAUGAACUGAAACGAAACCACGAUAUAGACAUGUAAAGCAUUGUUUGGUACACGAAGAAACACAUGAAGAAGAAUGCAGGAUACAGAAGAAACAAGUCAACAGACGCAUGUUUACGUUUGAAGUGUUGAGUGUGUGUUUUCUUUCGUUCUCGAGCCGUGGUUUAUUCAUUUAAUAGACACAAGUCGCUUAAUUUGAUUAUCGCUCAUCGUUUAUGGGGCCAAUUCGCUGUGAGUGGGGAGACCCACUCACAGCGAGCUCUGAACUAGCUGCAGUUAGAGCAAAAAGGGAAUUUUUAAAGGAAAUUUAUAUCCAUUACAACCUCAGAAGGCUUCGUAGACCCAGACCUUCUAGCAAACGAAACGAGAUAUAAAAUGUAUUGACCAACGGGCUCGUUGGUCAAUACAUUUUUUUCAACAGUUUUCCAUCAGUCUCCGGGUCAUCUCAGGACCAUUUGAUCUUUGCACCCUGAUCUGAUCACAUGUUAACAAACUCAAAGAAAAUAUGACCUGAUCCAAAAAUAAGAAACCAAUGAGGACAAUAAUAAUAAUACUAAAUCUGGCCUUAUCAGUUGUUAUCUUCUCAGGCUUAACACAUUUUCUCUGCUUGCCAAACCAUGCAGCUCUAUUUCUACAUUCACAAGCUGUUUGUACAUUCGCAGGCACCGGACAUCUGAACACCUACCUUCAACCCACACACACACACACACACACACACACACACACACACACACACACACACACACACACACACACACACACACACACACACACACAUUCACAUGCACAGACACACUCACCCUGCAAAACUUGGCUAUCGCUAAUAGCCUCGGCAAACAUAGAGGUGUGUGUGUGUGCAUGUGUGUGCACGUCUGUCUGUCUGGAAAGAGGAUAUUAUGGUCUGUCUCUCCCCCGCUCCUUCCAAGUGCACUUUUCAAGGUGCAGGGCUUGGUAUCACCAUGGCAACAGCGAAGCAACUGAGAACACAGUGGUGGGUGAUGGGUGUGUGUGUGUGUGUGUGUGUGUGUGUG
ensembl:lncRNA